GCUCUCACCCCAACCAGGUUCAAGGACCUCUCUGGCCGUAAUAUGUCCCAGGCCGAGCUCCACAUUCUGAAGGCUGAGGGCAUCUGUUUCAACUGUUUUCAGUCUGGCCAUCACAUAGCGCAUUGCCCAGGCCCUGUCAAGCCGUUCCCUGAUGAUCCUCCUGCUCCCAAAUAGAUAGCAGCCCAGAGUACUCUGCAGUGUGGCCCAGGACUCUGGGGUGUUUCUCAGACAUGUGCCUGUUCCAGUUGUCUGAACUGCUUCUCAGACUUGAACGCCUUGGUACCAGAACCGCUGGUUUUUGAUUUUAU
rnacentral:lncRNA from 1 species